GGAUAAUUGCUCGAGUUUUUUCCUCUUCUCUAAUCAAGUCGAUUGCUGUGUUACAAGGUACGUAGAUGGUUACAGGUGCAGCUACAUCUGAAAAUUUCAUUCUUAAACGUCAAAUAAAGCAACCAAAUAUUUAAUUUGUUCCCUAAUGAUCAUAUUUGGUGUUAUUUCUUUAGGAUGGUGCAUGGAGAACAUGCUCUGUUGCCAUCUUCAUCCGCCAAUUGGCUCCCAAAUCUAAAAGGUGUGGCUGCCGAAACAUGAGUCUAACAAGGCGCGGCUGCUGAACCAGGAGAACCGCAGACCUGGUCACAAUGAAUGAGUUUGAGACAAACCUUGUGUCAUGUGUUAUCGCACUCAGAUAUCGGAGCCUUGGAGAAUGUAAAAGAAAUGUUAAACGGGUAGAUGUGGCCCCUCUAAACUUACCUGAAUUGUUCAGCAAAGGUCCGCGAUUAAUGGUACCCAUGUACAUUCAGUAGGGCGAGUUGGUCUUGCUAUAUUGCAUUCAGGCAUAGUGUUGAUAUUUCAUCAAAAAUAAGUUCAAGCAUGAUAUUUAAGAUCAAUUCUGGAAGAAUGACCUGACACACCUGAACAUAAGAAAAACAUAAGGUGACUAAAAAAUACAUUGAACCAAAUGUGCCUGACUGAAUUUUAUUUGGAAUCGUACGUGUUAUUAUUCUUUGGAUGUGGCUGGCCAUUGCUAGCAUGCAUACAUGUAGCCACAUCUAUGUGAUAUGGUCAGUAUAUAUCUAUCAUGAGAAUAGUAUCUCAUGCAAUCAAGUCACAAUUGUUUAAAUUUCAAAAAGCCAAACUGAAGAACAAGCUGAAUACUGCUCCUUCCUCGCUCGCGUCGCUCCCAGGGGGCGGCACGGGCGAUAACCUAGCCGCCGCCGCCCCCACUCCGCGCUCCUUCCUCGCUCCCCUGCCACCGCCGGGGGAUGCCGACGGGCAAAUCUCGCUCGGCAGACGGCGGCGGCGGGGCCUCCUCGUCGUGUGGCGUGCGGCUUCGGCCCUGGACGGAGCUCCACUCCUGGUUGCGGCUGGGCGGCGGCGGGUCCUCUCGCCGGCGCAGGUAAGCCGGGGCAAGGUGGCGGCGCUGCUCCUUCCGACUCUCUACUGAGGGUGUUCGGGGCGGUGCUACCGCCGCGGAUCUGACGACCGACGUCCGGAUCUGCCGGUGGUGGCACUCUGGCGUGCUGCUGUGCCGGCGCUGCGGCUUGCAGCGGCUGCUGGGCGUGCUGAGUGCUGGAGUCCCCUCCCUCGGCUGGGGGAGCUACGGUGGCGGCGGAAAGCUGCAGUUUUUGGACGGCGGCACGGCGGUGCCGCGAUGGUGUUUAUGCUACGGUGGCUGUGGAGAUUGGUCUCCGUCCCUGUACUGGUGUGCUCAUCUUCUGCUUGUUCUGUAGCAGAGGGCUGGGCUUGAGGUAGUUGUGGUUGUGGCCGGAGGCCGGAGGCGUGAUGGCACGGCGUGGUGCUCCGUUGCAUCAUGCAGGUUUUCGGUCGUGGACUGGGCGGUGGAAGCCGGGGCGGCGGCUCCGGACGGUGGAAGUACGCCGAGGCGGCGGCCUCGGAUGGCGAUGCAACGGCGGCUCUAUGGGGUAGGUUCGUGGCUCUGCAUGGCUUGGGCGGCGACUUGGUGCUACAAGGGUAGCGAGGUCGUCGGCCUGGUUGGACGCGGCCCGAGGGGUUGGUCUGGCAGGAAGUCGGGGCGGCGGCUCCGGAUGUUUGGCACAGCGUUCGUGGUCUGCGGUCGGUCGUCUCGUGUAGCAAGGGCUACAAGGCCCUCGAACCGUGCGGCGCUAUGGCUUGUGAGCGGGCGGGGGAUGUCGGAGCGGCGGCUCCGGAGCUGGGGGUGUGUGUUUGUUGCGAUUGUGGCCUUGUGUCGUGUGGUCGACAAGGCUUCCUUGCUUGUGCGGUUUUUUGGCUCGGUUUUCCUUAUAAACCGGCCACUUUGUGAGGUUUUCGAUCCGGUUUCCCUUAUAAACUGGAUCAAUUCUCUUCUUCUAUAAUGAAAUGCCAGAGCUCCUGGCCCUCUGACGAGGUUCUGUCAAAAAAAAGUCACAAUUGUUUAUCCUCUUUGAUUAUCUUGCACUGCAGAAUUGUUGUACGGAACAAUUUAUAGGUGGUAUUCGUUAUUUCUCGGUAUGUAUAUGAACAAUGAUCGCACAUAUUCCUGUAAGCUAUAUUCUCUUCACA